rnacentral:rRNA from 1 species
GACGAACGCUGGCGGCGUGCUUAACACAUGCAAGUCGAACGGAAAGGCCCUGCUUUUGUUGGGUUCUCGAGUGGCGAACGGGUGAGUAACACGUGAGUAACCUGCCCUUGACUUUGGGAUAACUUCAGGAAACUGGGGCUAAUACCGGAUAGGAUCUCCUGCUGCAUGUUGGGGGUUGGAAAGUUUCGGCGGUUGUGGAUGGACUCGCGGCUUAUCAGCUUGUUGGUGGGGUAGUGGCUUACCAAGGCUUUGACGGGUAGCCGGCCUGAGAGGGUGACCGGCCACAUGGGGACUGAGAGACGGCCCAGAAGCCUACGGGAGGCAGCAGUGGGGAAUAUUGCACAAUGGGCGGAAGCCUGAGGCAGCAACGCCGCGUGCGGGAUGACGGCCUUCGGGUUGUAAACAGAUUUCGAAUGUGACGAAGCGUGAGUGACGGUAAUGGGUAAAGAAGCACCGGCUAACUACGUG